UGGUCACUUUGAUCACUCAUCACUUCUGU
rnacentral:piRNA from 1 species